rnacentral:misc_RNA from 1 species
CAGAUUAGUUGCAAAACUCCCAACCCUUUGUGAACGAACCUACCAGUUGCCUCGGCGGCGAGCCUUUUAGAAGGCGGACCGCCGGAGGAAUACAAACUCUUUGCAUUAAUGUAUCUACUGAUUACUUAUUCAAUAAGUUA